rnacentral:lncRNA from 1 species
CCCAGACUUCGGGCCCCUCUUCUCUUGCCAAGAAUUAAGGCUGUGGCCUCAGCCGCGCAGGAAGCCACCUCCAGCCCCCAGAGACUCCUAAAGGGGAACUCCCCUCCAGCUGCGCUGGGACCCCAGGACCCUGCCCCGGCCUGAAGGCCAGGGCACCCAGAUGUGCUGCUCAAGGGAGCCCCAAGGGCUGGAAGGGGGUUGUGAAACCGAAA